rnacentral:rRNA from 1 species
UACGGGAGGCAGCAGUGAGGAAUAUUGCGCAAUGGAGGAAACUCUGACGCAGCGACGCCGCGUGAAGGAAGACGGUCUUCGGAUUGUAAACUUCUGUCUUCAGGGAAGAAAAAAAUGACGGUACCUGGGGAGGAAGCCCCGGCUAACUACGUGCCAGCAGCCGCGGUAAU